AAUUAAUCUUCCUGUGAAAAAGCAGGAAUAAAACUAUAAGACGAAAAGACCCUAUGGAGCUUUAAACUUAUUUCCACUUAUUUAAUCACAUAACAAUUUAAAUAAUAAGAGUGUUCUUUAAUAGUUUUUGGUUGGGGCGACCCUGGAGAAAAAUAAAUCCUCCAGAUUGAAAAAAUAACCCUUAUAUAAGAACCACAAUUCAAAUAAACAAAAAUUUGACAAAACUGACCCAGAAUAACUGAUCAGUGAACCAAGUUACCCUAGGGAUAACAGCGCUAUCCAUUUUGAGAGUCCGUAUUGACAAAUGGGUUUACGACCUCGAUGUUGGAUCGGGGUAUCCCAGCAGCGCAGCAGUUGCUAAUGGUUCGUUUGUUCAACGACUAACACCCCACGUGAUCUGAGUUCAAACCNGA
rnacentral:rRNA from 1 species